rnacentral:rRNA from 1 species
GACGAACGCUGGCGGCGUGCUUAACACAUGCGAGUCGAACGGAAAGGCCCUGCUUUUGUGGGGUGCUCGAGUGGCGAACGGGUGAGUAACACGUGAGUAACCUGCCCUUGACUUUGGGAUAACUUCAGGAAACUGGGGCUAAUACCGGAUAGGAGCUCCUGCUGCAUGGUGGGGGUUGGAAAGUUUCGGCGGUUGGGGAUGGACUCGCGGCUUAUCAGCUUGUUGGUGGGGUAGUGGCUUACCAAGGCUUUGACGGGUAGCCGGCCUGAGAGGGUGACCGGCCACAUUGGGACUGAGAUACGGCCCAGACUCCUACGGGAGGCAGCAGUGGGGAAUAUUGCACAAUGGGCGGAAGCCUGAUGCAGCAACGCCGCGGGCGGGAUGACGGCCUGCGGGUUGUAAACCGCUUUCGCCUGUGACGAAGCGUGAGUGACGGUAAUGGGUAAAGAAGCACCGGCUAACUACGUG